rnacentral:rRNA from 1 species
CAGCAGCCGCGGUAAUACGGAGGGUGCAAGCGUUAUCCGGAUUUAUUGGGUUUAAAGGGUCCGUAGGCGGACUUAUAAGUCAGUGGUGAAAGCCUGUCGCUUAACGAUAGAACUGCCAUUGAUACUGUAAGUCUUGAGUAUAUUUGAGGUAGCUGGAAUAAGUAGUGUAGCGGUGAAAUGCAUAGAUAUUACUUAGAACACCAAUUGCGAAGGCAGGUUACCAAGAUAUAACUGACGCUGAGGGACGAAAGCGUGGGUAGCGAACAGGAUUAGAUACCCCUGUAGUCCCUGUCUCUUAUAA